CCAGAGAUGAUGUACUUCAAAUGGUGUCCUUCCUUUCUUCAUCUUCUUUACGCAGGGAAAGAGCAUCGCUCCUCUGGGACCGUUUGAUUAACCAUUACAAGACCCUCCUCAACUAACCUGCUGCUUCUGGAAUGGGCAAACUGCUUUUGUCAGCAUAAUGGAGAACUUGAAGAUUCAUCUACUCUGGAGCUUCUGCUGUAGUUGCACUGCCUUUCAUUAUGGGAAUGAAGGAAAUCAAGAAAAAUGACCAAGAGAAGUAAAUCCGACCCCUAAAAACUCAUCAUGGACUGGGAGAGGCAACUUCAAAGACCUGCUCUACUGUUGUGUCUCAUAACAGAAGAAUUCCAGGCUAUUGCCUCGCUUUUUGAUCUUCCCAUUUUUUAUGUGAAAAGAAUUCACGCUGACUAGAGCCUGAAUAAUCUGACUGCAGAGCAUCUGAG
ensembl:lncRNA